AACGAACGCUGGCGGCGUGGAUUAGGCAUGCAAGUCGAGCGGGAUCCUUGAGGUUCGAUUCUUCGGAAGAGAACCUCCUGGUGAGAGCGGCGAACGGGUGAGUAACGCGCGGGCAAUCUGCCCCCGAGCCGGGAAUAGCCCUCCGAAAGGAGGGGUAAUUCCGGAUGUGGUCGCCCCGGACAUCCGGGGCUGUCUAAAGGUGGGGAUCCUUCGGGACCUGCCGCUCGGGGAUGAGCCCACGUCCUAUCAGCUUGUUGGUGAGGUAACGGCUCACCAAGGCUUAGACGGGUAGCUGGUCUGAGAGGAUGGUCAGCCACACUGGGACUGAGACACUGCCCAGACUCCUACGGGAGGCUGCAGUCGAGAAUCAUUCGCAAUGCGCGCAAGCGUGACGAUGCGACGCCGCGUGCAGGAUGAAGGCCUUCGGGUUGUAAACUGCUGUCAUGAGGGAACAACGGUCCGGCUGCGAAUACCAGCCGGGAGUGAUAGUACCUCAAGAGGAAGCCACGGCUAACUCUGUGCCAGCAGCCGCGGUAAUACAGAGGUGGCGAGCGUUGUUCGGAAUUACUGGGCGUAAAGGGUGCGCAGGCGGCCGCGUGUGUCGGAUGUGAAAGCUCACCGUUCAUCGGUGAAACGGCAUUCGAAACUGCGCGGCUAGAGUACAGCAGAGGAGAGCGGAAUUCUCGGUGUAGCGGUGAAAUGCGUAGAUAUCGAGAAGAACGCCGGUGGCGAAGGCGGCUCUCUGGACUGAUACUGACGCUGAGGCACGAAAGCUGGGGGA
rnacentral:rRNA from 1 species